GACGAACGCUGGCGGCGUGCUUAACACAUGCAAGUCGAGCGGAAAGGCCCUUCGGGGUACUCGAGCGGCGAACGGGUGAGUAACACGUGAGCAACCUGCCCUAGGCUUUGGGAUAACCCCGGGAAACCGGGGCUAAUACCGAAUAGGACCUCCGGCCGCAUGGCUGGGGGUGGAAAGUUUUUCGGCCUGGGAUGGGCUCGCGGCCUAUCAGCUUGUUGGUGGGGUGAUGGCCUACCAAGGCGACGACGGGUAGCCGGCCUGAGAGGGCGACCGGCCACACUGGGACUGAGACACGGCCCAGACUCCUACGGGAGGCAGCAGUGGGGAAUAUUGCACAAUGGGCGGAAGCCUGAUGCAGCGACGCCGCGUGAGGGAUGACGGCCUUCGGGUUGUAAACCUCUUUCAGCAGGGACGAAGCGUAAGUGACGGUACCUGCAGAAGAAGCGCCGGCCAACUACGUGCCAGCCGCCGCCGUAAUAC
rnacentral:rRNA from 1 species